rnacentral:lncRNA from 1 species
GGAAGACUUUGGACAUUUAAGAAAAAAGUGCAACUUGGGAAAAUAGGAGUUAUUAGACAUUUUAGCGCUGGGAGGAAAAAUAGGAGCAAAACCCAGAGCAACACAAGCUGCCUUGAAAACCUAAAUUAAACUCAGAAUCACAAAGAGCAAAAUGUGUUAAUAAUAAAUGGGGGAUGCAUCUGCCUGCCUGGGCUCAGGGUGCAUGAAUGCUCUGGUUGAGGUCCUUGGGGUCACAAGCACAAAAUAUUCAGACACUUCUGAUGUUCCUGCAAUGCAUUUUACUAGGAAAAAAAAAUGUGAAACGAAGAAGGGAUGAGGCUGGAAAUUGAGACAGAAAGAUUCUGGGGAGACCUCAUUGCUGCCUUCCAGUACUUGAGCGGAGCUUACAAGCAGGAGGGAAACUGACUUUUUACACAGUCUGAUAGUGAUAGGACAUGGGGGAAUGGUUUUAAACUGAAAGAGGAGAUUUAGGCUAAAUGUUAGGACAAAAUUAUUUACCUAGAGGUAGUGAGGCCCUGGCACUGCUGCCCAGAGCUCUGGGUGCCCCAUCCCUGGAGCUGUGCAAGGCCAUUGAUGGGCCCUGGGCAGCCUGAGCUGGUGGUGGGCACCCAGCCCAUGGCAGGUGUUGGAACUGGGUGAUCUUUAAGAUCCCUCCCAACCCAACCAUUCUGUGAUUCUGUGCAGUCUUGAGAGAUCAUGCUGCUCCACACAGGGCUGGUGGCAUCAGCAGGACGAUGAUAACUCAGAGAUCAUUGUGGGAGCAGAAACCAGGUCUUGGAGGGUGUCGGGGAUUCCCUUGCUGGUCAGGCAGGCAUGCAGCCAAAUUCAGGAACGUGUGUCCCUCCCAGCUCGUCUGGAAGCGUGCUGAUGACCUGCUGCUGCUCCGUCUCCUUGGUGACUGCACAUGCCAGUAUCCCCAGACAAAAGCUCUCCUGGCACAUAAUGGGAACAGAGGGAGUGCUGGGCAGCAGCAUUCAGCCCUGGGGGCUGCGUUCCUCGCGCUCAGCCUGGGGGGCUGUUCUGCAGCCCUCAGCCCUGAGUCAGACAGAACUGCAGCCUUGCAGAUAAUUCCUAUUCAAAAACCAGAUGGGUAUUUCAGGAGAACCACUAAGGCUGAAAGUCCUCGUCCUGCACCCAGCAGACCUGGCUCUGAGCCCCACAAAGUCCAUCAGGGUCCUGCCCUGCUGGCGAUGAAAUGA